rnacentral:rRNA from 1 species
UACGGAGGAUGCGAGCGUUAUCCGGAUUCAUUGGGUUUAAAGGGUGCGUAGGUUGUUUUAUAAGUUAGCGGUGAAAUACCGAUGCUCAACAUCGGGGCUGCCGCUGAUACUGUAGGACUAGAGAUCGGAUGCAGCAGGCGGAAUGUGUAGUGUAGCGGUGAAAUGCAUAGAUAUAUGGAAGAACACCAGUGGCGAAGGCGGCCGCCUGGCCUGUUGCUGACGCUGAGGCACGAAAGCGUGGGGAGCAAAUAGG